rnacentral:rRNA from 1 species
UAGGGAAUCUUCGGCAAUGGACGAAAGUCUGACCGAGCAACGCCGCGUGAGUGAAGAAGGUUUUCGGAUCGUAAAACUCUGUUGGUAAAGAAGAACGUUGGUGAGAGUGGAAAGCUCAUCAAGUGACGGUAACUACCCAGAAAGGGACGGCUAACUACGUGCCAGCAGCCGCGGUAAUACGUAGGUCCCGAGCGUUGUCCGGAUUUAUUGGGCGUAAAGCGAGCGCAGGUGGUUUAUUAAGUCUGGUGUAAAAGGCAGUGGCUCAACCAUUGUAUGCAUUGGAAACUGGUAGACUUGAGUGCAGGAGAGGAGAGUGGAAUUCCAUGUGUAGCGGUGAAAUGCGUAGAUAUAUGGAGGAACACCGGUGGCGAAAGCGGCUCUCUGGCCUGUAACUGACACUGAGGCUCGAAAGCGUGGGGAGCAAACAGGAUUAGAUACCCUGGUAGUCCACGCCGUAAACGAUGAGUGCUAGAUGUAGGGAGCUAUAAGUCCUCUGUAUCGCAGCUAACGCAAUAAGCACUCCGCCUGGGGGAGU